rnacentral:rRNA from 1 species
CAUAGGUUAAUGAGGCGAACCGGGGGAACUGAAACAUCUAAGUACCCCGAGGAAAAGAAAUCAACCGAGAUUCCCCCAGUAGCGGCGAGCGAACGGGGAGCAGCCCAGAGCCUGAAUCAGUGUGUGUGUUAGUGGAAGCGUCUGGAAAGGCGCGCGAUACAGGGUGACAGCCCCGUACACAAAAAUGCACAUGCUGUGAGCUCGAUGAGUAGGGCGGGACACGUGGUAUCCUGUCUGAAUAUGGGGGGACCAUCCUCCAAGGCUAAAUACUCCUGACUGACCGAUAGUGAACCAGUACCGUGAGGGAAAGGCGAAAAGAACCCCGGCGAGGGGAGUGAAAAAGAACCUGAAACCGUGUACGUACAAGCAGUGGGAGCACAGAGCAAUCUGUGUGACUGCGUACCUUUUGUAUAAUGGGUCAGCGACUUAUAUUCUGUAGCAAGGUUAACCGAAUAGGGGAGCCGAAGGGAAACCGAGUCUUAACUGGGCGUUAAGUUGCAGGGUAUAGACCCGAAACCCGGUGAUCUAGCCAUGGGCAGGUUGAAGGUUGGGUAACACUAACUGGAGGACCGAACCGACUAAUGUUGAAAAAUUAGCGGAUGACUUGUGGCUGGGGGUGAAAGGCCAAUCAAACCGGGAGAUAGCUGGUUCUCCCCGAAAGCUAUUUAGGUAGCGCCUCGUGAAUUCAUCUCCGGGGGUAGAGCACUGUUUCGGCAAGGGGGUCAUCCCGACUUACCAACCCGAUGCAAACUACGAAUACCGGAGAAUGUUAUCACGGGAGACACACGGCGGGUGCUAACGUCCGUCGUGAAGAGGGAAACAACCCAGACCGCCAGCUAAGGUCCCAAAGUCAUGGUUAAGUGGGAAACGAUGUGGGAAGGCCCAGACAGCCAGGAUGUUGGCUUAGAAGCAGCCAUCAUUUAAAGAAAGCGUAAUAGCUCACUGGUCGAGUCGGCCUGCGCGGAAGAUGUAACGGGGCUAAACCAUGCACCGAAGCUGCGGCAGCGACGCU